AACGAACGCUGGCGGCAGGCUUAACACAUGCAAGUCGAACGGAAAGGGCGUGCUUGUGUCGGGUGCUCGAGGCGCAAGCGGGUGAGUAACACGGGAGUCACCUUCCCUGUACGGUGUGAUGACUGCAGACAACUGCUACUAAUACAGGAUAGCAGCUGCUGCUGCAUGGGGGGGUUUGGAAAUUUUCGGCCGAUGGGGAUGGACGCGCGGCUUAUCAGCUUGUUGGGUGGGGAGUGGCUUACCAAGGCUUUGACGGGUAGCCGGCAUGAGAGGGUGACCGGCCACAUUGGGACUGCGAUACGGCCCAGAGUCCUAUGGGAGGCAGCAGUGGGGAAUAUUGCCCAAUGGGCGGAAGCGUGAUGAAGCAAUGCUGCGUGCGGGAUGCAGGCCUUCGUGUUGUAAACCGCUUUAGCCUGUGACCAAGCUUGAGUGACGUUACCGGCUGAAGAAGCACCGGCUAACUACGUG
rnacentral:rRNA from 1 species